AGAGUUUGAUCAUGGCUCAGAAUCAACGCUGGCGGCGUGCCUAACACAUGCAAGUCGAACGCGAAAGUCCCGCAAGGGAUCAGUAGAGUGGCAAACGGGUGAGUAACACGUGGGUGACCUGCCUUCGAGUGGGGGAUAACGUCCCGAAAGGGACGCUAAUACCGCAUGACAUCCUGCUCUUGAACGAGUGGAGAUCAAAGCUGGGGAUCGCAAGACCUAGCGCUCAAAGAGGGGCCCGCGCCUGAUUAGCUAGUUGGUGGGGUAACGGCUCACCAAGGCGACGAUCAGUAUCCGGCCUGAGAGGGCGGACGGACACACUGGGACUGAGACACGGCCCAGACUCCUACGGGAGGCAGCAGUGGGGAAUUGUUCGCAAUGGGCGCAAGCCUGACGACGCAACGCCGCGUGGAGGAUGAAGAUCUUCGGGUCGUAAACUCCUUUCGAUCGAGACGAACGGCCUCCGGGUGAGCAAUCCGGAGGAGUGACGGUACCGAGAGAAGAAGCCCCGGCUAACUCCGUGCCAGCAGCCGCGGUA
rnacentral:rRNA from 1 species